rnacentral:rRNA from 1 species
GCAUAUCAUUAUGCGGAGGAAAAGAAACCAACAGGGAUUGCCUUAGUAACGGCGAGUGAAGCGGCAACAGCUCAAAUUUGAAAUCUGGCUCUUUUAGGGUCCGAGUUGUAAUUUGCAGAGGGCGGCUUUUGGCUUUUGGGCAGCGGUCCAAGUUCCUUGGAACAGGACGUCACAGAGGGUGAGAAUCCCGUACGUGGUCGCCUAGCUAUUGCCGUGUAAAGCCCCUUCGACGAGUCGAGUUGUUUGGGAAGGCAGCUCUAAAUGGGAGGGAAAUUUCCUUCUAAAGCUAAAUAUUGGCCAGAGACCGAUAGCGCACAAGUAGAGUGAUCGAAAGAUGAAAAGCACUUUGGAAAGAGAGUCAAACAGCACGUGAAAUUGUUGAAAGGGAAGCGCUUGCAGCCAGACUUGCUUGCAGUUGCUCAUCCGGGCUUUUGCCCGGUGCACUCUUCUGCAGCGCAGGCCAGCAUCAGUUUGGGCGGUGGGAUAAAGGUCUCUGACACGUUCCUUCCUUCGGGUUGGCCAUAUAGGGGAGAAGUCAUACCCCCACCCUGGACUGAGGUCCGCGCAUCUGCUAGGAUGCUGGCGUAAUGGCUGUAAGCGCCCCGUCUUGAAACACGGACCAAGGAGUCUAACAUCUAUGCGAGUGUUUGGGUGUCAAGCCCGAGCGCGUAAUGAAAGUGAACGGAGGUGGGAACCCGCAAGGGCGCACCAUCGACCGAUCCUGAAGUUUACGGAAGGAUUUGAGUAAGAGCAUGGCUGUUGGGACCCGAAAGAUGGUGAACUAUGCUUGAAUAGGGUGAAGCCAGAGGAAACUCUGGUGGAGGCUCGCACCGGUUCUGACGUGCAAAUCGAUCGUCAAAUUUGGGCAUAAGGGCGAAAGACUAAUCGA